rnacentral:rRNA from 1 species
GACGAACGCUGGCGGCGUGCUUAACACAUGCAAGUCGAACGGAAAGGCCCUGCUUUUGUGGGGUGCUCGAGUGGCGAACGGGUGAGUAACACGUGAGUAACCUGCCCUUGACUUUGGGAUAACUUCAGGAAACUGGGGCUAAUACCGGAUAGGAGCUCCUGCUGCAUGGUGGGGGUUGGAAAGUUUCGGCGGUUGGGGAUGGACUCGCGGCUUAUCAGCUUGUUGGUGGGGUAGUGGCUUACCAAGGCUUUGACGGGUAGCCGGCCUGAGAGGGUGACCGGCCACAUUGGGACUGAGAUACGGCCCAGACUCCUACGGGAGGCAGCAGUGGGGAAUAUUGCACAAUGGGCGGAAGCCUGAUGCAGCAACGCCGCGUGCGGGAUGACGGCCUUCGGGUUGUAAACCGCUUUCGCCUGUGACGAAGCGUGAGUGACGGUAAUGGGUAAAGAAGCACCGGCUAACUACGUGCCAGCAGCCGCGGUGAUACGUAGGGUGCGAGCGUUGUCCGGAUUUAUUGGGCGUAAAGGGCUCGUAGGUGGUUGAUCGCGUCGGAAGUGUAAUCUUGGGGCUUAACCCUGAGCGUGCUUUCGAUACGGGUUGACUUGAGGAAGGUAGGGGAGAAUGGAAUUCCUGGUGGAGCGGUGGAAUGCGCAGAUAUCAGAGGGAACACCAGUGGCGAAGGCGGUUCUCUGGGCCUUUCCUGACGCUGAGGAGCGAAAGCGUGGGGAGCGAACAGGCUUAGAUACCCUGGUAGUCCACGCUGUAAACGGUGGGUACUAGGUGUGGGGUCCAUUCCACGGGUUCCGUGCCGUAGCUAACGCUUUAAGUACCCCGCCUGGGGAGUACGGCCGCAAGGCUAAAACUCAAAGGAAUUGACGGGGCCCCGCACAAGCGGCGGAGCAUGCGGAUUAAUUCGAUGCAACGCGUAGAACCUUACCUGGGUUUGACAUGGAUCGGGAGCGCUCAGAGAUGGGUGUGCCUCUUUUGGGGUCGGUUCACAGGUGGUGCAUGGCUGUCGUCAGCUCGUGUCGUGAGAUGUUGGGUUAAGUCCCGCAACGAGCGCAACCCUUGUUCACUGUUGCCAGCACGUUAUGGUGGGGACUCAGUGGAGACCGCCGGGGUCAACUCGGAGGAAGGUGGGGAUGACGUCAAGUCAUCAUGCCCCUUAUGUCCAGGGCUUCACGCAUGCUACAAUGGCUGGUACAGAGAGUGGCGAGCCUGUGAGGGUGAGCGAAUCUCGGAAAGCCGGUCUCAGUUCGGAUUGGGGUCUGCAACUCGACCUCAUGAAGUCGGAGUCGCUAGUAAUCGCAGAUCAGCAACGCUGCGGUGAAUACGUUCCCGGGGCU